rnacentral:rRNA from 1 species
UACGUAGGGGGCAAGCGUUGUCCGGAAUUAUUGGGCGUAAAGAGCGCGUAGGCGGCCAGAUAGGUCCGUUGUGAAAACUCGAGGCUCAACCUCGAGACGCCGAUGGAAACCAUCUGGCUAGAGUCCGGAAGAGGAGAGUGGAAUUCUCGGUGUAGCGGUGAAAUGCGUAGAUAUUAGGAAGAACACCAGUGGCGAAGGCGGCUCACUGGCCCGGUACUGACGCUGAGGCGCGAAAGCGUGGGGAGCAAACAGGGAUUAGAAACCCUUG